rnacentral:rRNA from 1 species
GACAGAGGAUGCAAGUGUUAUCCGGAAUCACUGGGCGUAAAGCGUCUGUAGGUGGUUUAAUAAGUCAACUGUUAAAUCUUGAGGCUCAACCUCAAAAUCGCAGUCGAAACUAUUAGGCUAGAGUAUAGUAGGGGUAAAGGGAAUUUCCAGUGGAGCGGUGAAAUGCGUAGAGAUUGGAAAGAACACCGAUGGCGAAGGCACUUUACUGGGCCGAAACUGACACUGAGAGACGAAAGCUAGGGGAGCGAAUGGG